rnacentral:rRNA from 1 species
UACGGAGGGUGCAAGCGUUGUUCGGAAUCACUGGGCGUAAAGCGCGUGUAGGCGGCCACUUAAGUCUGAUGUGAAAGCCCUGGGCUCAACUCAGGAAGUGCAUUGGAUACUGGGUGGCUGGAGUACCGGAGAGGAGGGUGGAAUUCCUGGUGUAGCGGUGAAAUGCGUAGAUAUCAGGAGGAACACCGAUGGCGAAGGCAGGUCUCUGGGCCACUACUGACGCUGAGAAGCGAAAGCAUGGGGAGCGAACAGG